rnacentral:rRNA from 1 species
UAGGUUAACGAGGCGAACCGGGGGAACUGAAACAUCUAAGUACCCCGAGGAAAAGAAAUCAACCGAGAUUCCCCCAGUAGCGGCGAGCGAACGGGGAGCAGCCCAGAGUCUGAAUCAGCUUGUGUGUUAGUGGAACGGUCUGGAAAGUCCGACGGUACAGGGUGAUAGUCCCGUACACCAAAAUGCACAGGUUGUGAACUCGAAGAGUAGGGCGGGACACGUGGUAUCCUGUCUGAAUAUGGGGGGACCAUCCUCCAAGGCUAAAUACUCCUGACUGACCGAUAGUGAACCAGUACCGUGAGGGAAAGGCGAAAAGAACCCCGGCGAGGGGAGUGAAAAAGAACCUGAAACCGUGUACGUACAAGCAGUGGGAGCACCUUCGGGUGUGACUGCGUACCUUUUGUAUAAUGGGUCAGCGACUUAUAUUCUGUAGCAAGGUUAACCGUAUAGGGGAGCCGCAGGGAAACCGAGUCUUAACUGGGCGUUAAGUUGCAGGGUAUAGACCCGAAACCCGGUGAUCUAGCCAUGGGCAGGUUGAAGGUUGGGUAACACUAACUGGAGGACCGAACCGACUAAUGUUGAAAAAUUAGCGGAUGACUUGUGGCUGGGGGUGAAAGGCCAAUCAAACCGGGAGAUAGCUGGUUCUCCCCGAAAGCUAUUUAGGUAGCGCCUCGUGAACUCAUCUUCGGGGGUAGAGCACUGUUUCGGCUAGGGGGUCAUCCCGACUUACCAACCCGAUGCAAACUACGAAUACCGAAGAAUGUUAUCACGGGAGACACACGGCGGGUGCUAACGUCCGUCGUGAAGAGGGAAACAACCCAGACCGCCAGCUAAGGUCCCAAAGUCACAGUUAAGUGGGAAACGAUGUGGGAAGGCACAGACAGCCAGGAUGUUGGCUUAGAAGCAGCCAUCAUUUAAAGAAAGCGUAAUAGCUCACUGGUCGAGUCGGCCUGCGCGGAAGAUGUAACGGGGCUAAACUGUGCAC